rnacentral:rRNA from 1 species
UUCGGGAACUGUGAGACAGGUGCUGCAUGGCUGUCGUCAGCUCGUGUUGUGAAAUGUUGGGUUAAGUCCCGCGACGAGCGCAACCCCUAUCCUUAUUUGCCAGCGCGUUAUGGCGGGAACUCUAAGGAGACUGCCGGUGAUAAACCGGAGGAAGGUGGGGACGACGUCAAGUCAUCAUGGCCCUUACGGGAUGGGCUACACACGUGCUACAAUGGCGAGUACAGAGGGCAGCAAUACCGCGAGGUGGAGCGAAUCCCACAAAGCUUGUCGUAGUCCGGAUUGGAGUCUGCAACUCGACUCCAUGAAGUCGGAAUCGCUAGUAAUCGUAGAUCAGAAUGCUACGGUGAAUACGUUCCCGGGCCUUGUACACACCGCCCGUCACACCAUGGGAGUGGGAUGCAAAAGAAGUGGCUAGUUUAACCUUCGGGAGGACGGUCACCACUUUGUGUUUCAUGACUGGGGUGAAGUCGUAACAAGGUA